AGCUGCACUACCUCACCUCCCACACAACAGAGGAGGACGUGCAGGGGCUAGUGUGAGUGUCCAGUGUAGAAGCAUAAUUAUUUUUUUUCCUGUUUGUAAGGAAAGAGAACAACCAAGUGCCAAAUCAUCAAAAAGGAAGAUAAAGAUAAAGUUGAAUUGUCACAACAUGCUACCGAACAGACAGGAGGAGUUGCCAAAGAAUCGUUACACAUUAAAGUUCCAGACAUGUUGAUGCUUCCAUCCUGAGAGAGUGUUAGCUAUAGGAGAAACAAUAGUAAGAAGGCUGGUCCAGGGUUUACUGAUGAAGGUGCUGAUCAGGAGUACCAUGAACAGCACGGCUGAUUUUGAAUGGAAAGUUGCGUGUGAGUUGGUCGGGUCACAGCCAAACUAGUCUUUCGUACCUGUUUCCUUAGUGCCAUUUCCAUGUCUUUCUGAGUGUCAAUAAGUACCAGGACAGCAAAAUGGGAUGUUUAGUGCCUGACGGGACAGCUUGGUGGGGUAACAAGAGGCGUGAUGCGUCUGCCUCCCUUCAAAGCAUCUCUGCAUUGCUUUAAGAAUAUUCUGCAAGUUUAAAGCUGAUGAAGGAAGACGUACAGCAGCUAUAGUCACCAUACACUAGGCUGAAGCCCCUGUCCAUAGCUAAGGGAGCUGAUUGCUUAGAUGAAAGGAGGGUAGGCCUUGGUGAGGGAGGGGGCAGGGCAUCUGGAGCAAUUCAAUAUGCAAAGUUUGAGUGUCUGGUGAAGUAGUAAGAAGCAUGAUGUCUGUUUCCUCCACUCACUUGGGGCCUUGGAGCUGGAGAACACAAAGGGAGAACAAACAACAGCAGACCUGAUGGUUCUUACGAGGCUGUUUGUGACAAGCUACACUAACUAUCUAAUCAAAGGUGGAAGAUGAAGGACAGCAAGAUGAAGAAGCAUCUCUCAGCCCUUCCUUUCGGGUGCCGGCUUUGUCAAACUCUUCAUGGAAAUUUGCACUGACCUCAUCAUGGCAGAGACUGGGCAUGCACAAGGCGACCCAUUGUAGUAGCAGUGUUGUGCUCCCCCAGUGACCUGCCGACCACUGUGCUGCUGAUCAAGCUUGUGGAGGAGGGAGACAGUGCGAUGGGCACAGUCAUGCUGCUCAACUUUCUCAAUGCUUGGAAGGUCCAGGAGCAAGCUGCAACAUGGACGAUGCCUUUUCUUGCAAAAAUAUGUUUUGGAGCCCAACACCACAGAGGUUGCCAGGAGUGAAAUUUUUAUAUUCAAAACUUGCCUCAGAACUAGCAGUGGUGCCAGAAUGCUAGGGGUACAUCAGCUGCAUCCCACACUCCCAGGCUGUACUUGGGACACGCUACAUGGGAGUACUUGCAUGGGAGGGCCUGAUACAAAAUGUAUUGUGA